ACGUCUUGCAUGCGCAGAUUGGCUGAAACAGAGAAAAUGAAAGUAAUAAGGUUCUUUUAAGACCAAUUCCUUAACAAAACUUAGGGAGAAUUAACCUGAAAAUGUGAUAAAUAAUGCACCUAUCAUUGGUCCACUCAGUACCUAUAACAUGUUCAAAUUUCAGAAAAAUUCAACAAUGCGAUCAUCAAUAGCAGAUGUUUGAAACACCAACCCAGUUUUCAAUUCUGCAAAAAUCUGGACAGUCAUCUUAUGAGUGCCAAAACCCCAUUUUAGCAUUCAUAUAGAAAUGAUAUUUUCACAAAAGUUAUUCGUUAUCCUCUCAUCCACAUCAUACUAAAAUUUCAGUCAGAUCCAACAAUUUGAUCUUCCUAUAAUUGUCAAACACUACUGUUGAUACAUGACCAUGAUUAGAAAGAAAAAGGGAAGUGUAGUAAGUUAAUAUUUACUUUUUCCUUAUCAUUAUUAAUCUUGUUAUUAAUGUGACUGGUGCGGUAUAAUCGACCAUCAUACACCAUAUAUAUUGUAGUAUGAAUGGUACGGAUUGAUCACCCUCACCCUUACUUAUGUUAUAUAUAUUUGUGAAUGGUGCGACACUAUCACCCUUCUUACAAUAACAAUUAGGGAAAUUUUAUUUGAACCCAUAUAACAUCUUUCUACACCCAACUUAUUCUUUACACCCAUAUAGUUUUUAAUUAAAUUAUCAAUAUCUCUUUAAAUCCAAUUUUACUACCUAAACUACCCUCACAAACCUAAUAUAAUAUGCAAAUUUAUCUUUACACCCAUUUUAAAAUAAAAAUCCAGAAUCAGUGUUCUACAACUUGUUUUCCACAACUCGUUGAUUGAGAGUGUAAUGUCCAUACAUAUAUGGAGUCGUGUUUGAUGAAUUGGUCAAACAAGCAAUCUGGAAUCGGGAAGUUAUGUGAGUAGACAAGAUUAGAUGAAGUAAUUAACUCAUAUGUUACGAUGUUUUUGUGCUUAUUUGAGAUUGAAAUGUUAAACCAAUAUGCUUAUUUCUCUUACAACAGAAAUCGAGUUGGUUUUAAUCCUUGUGUGCUUUAUCUGAAUUGCAUUCCCGUUGUUUUUAUCCCAUCGCCGCUUCAUAAACAAAUGCAGUAGUGUUUUUCAAAUGCUUUAAUCUCAAGUUUUUACCUUGGUUUUAAGAUUAGGUGUAUUGGGUGGUGGAGUUGUAAUCCAUAUUCUUAGGCAUCACUUGGGUUUUAGCCACAGUAAUUCAAAUCUGCAUGAAUUAUAGGACUCAAAAUCAUUUUAUACAUACACAUACACUAGUAAUAAUAAUUAACUUAGGCCCUCAGUUGUCAUUGGAACCGGAGGUGGGUAUAUUGAUUAGUGGGUUUAUUGAUAAAUUUUAGUUUGAUUUCUGGUUUCAUCUUGUAUUUGGUAAUUAUACAAUAGGGUAAAACUGACCAUUCACAUUUUAAAUUUAAGUUAGGUGUAGAGUGAGGUUAUAUGGGUUCAAAUAAAAUUUCUCUAACAAUUAUUGUCUUUAAGUUUUGAUAUUUAUGUGAAUAGUGCUGAAUAAAAUCCGUGUCACAAUCAUUACUUAUCUAAAGCAAUUUAUGUGUACUUAAUUUUUAUGAUGAGUAUAUAUAGGAUCUGAAGUUCCUUGAUCUUUAUCAUAUAAAAAGAUUGGACCUGAAGUUCCACCAUAUAAAAAGAUCGAACCUGAAGUUCCUUGAUCCUCAUCAUAGAUCGGACCUGAAGUUCCUUGAUCAAAAUAAAACCUAAAGUUUUGAAUCAAUUGAGAGAACAACAGUUCCUCAACUUAAUUGAAAUCACGGUCAUAAGCACCUCAAUCCACAGACUAUUAAAUGAGAACCAGAAGUUCCUUGAUUCAUGUAAAUGAGAACCAUAAACUCCUUAAUCCAUGUACAGAUUAAGUAUGAGCAUGAAUUCCAAAAUGUGAACCUAAAGGUUCUAAUGGUGUCGAUAUCGAGAAUAAAUUUCUAGUACAUAUGAAUAAUGUUUUGGCCUGAAGUUCAAAAUAUAAAUAAUGUUAAUAACUUGAAGUUCUAACACUUUUGUGUGGACGUGUUUAUAUGGUAUGAAUUAAGCAAGUUUUGUCAUAACUGAAUUUCUUUCUUUCGGGAGUAAGAAUAUGGUGAACUUAGCAAAACUCGAUGUUGUUACCAUGGACAUUUUAUACAAGAGAUAAUUUCAUGAAUUCAUAAUGCCCGAGAAUUCAUGUGGAAGAAUAUGAUAUUAGAAAACAUCUUUGCUUAAAAGCUCAUUGAAUCAUAUUCAUGGAACCAGAAGUUUCCAUCGUUUCUUCAUUGAUUCAUAUUAAUGGAACCAAAAGUUUCCACAGUUUCCUAUAUCUAACAAACUGAACCAGAAGUUUCAGACAUGUAAAAGACCAUAACAGAGGGAACUUUUCUAUACAUACGCGUGCAUACACAUGAAUUACAACUACAACAAUA
rnacentral:lncRNA from 1 species